ACGGAGGGUGCGAGCGUUGUUCGGAAUCACUGGGCGUAAAGCGCGCGUAGGCGGUCUUUUAAGUCUGAUGUGAAAGCCCCGGGCUCAACCGGGGAAGUGCAUUGGAAACUGGGAGACUUGAGUACGGGAGAGGAAAGUGGAAUUCCCGGUGUAGGAGUGAAAUCCGUAGAUAUGAGGAGGAACACCGGUGGCGAAGGCGGCUACCUGGACCGAUAUUGACGCUGAGACGCGAAAGCGUGGGGAGCAAACAG
rnacentral:rRNA from 1 species